rnacentral:rRNA from 1 species
GAUCAUAACAAAUCCUUUAAACACACGGGCUUGGUCCCGACCCUAAAAUCAAUUAUUUCUUAACUUACACAUGCAAGUCUCCGCACUCCUGUGAGGACUCCCUUCAACCCCCUCCACCGGGGCAAGGAGCUGAUAUCAGGCACAAUAUAACGCCCAGAACAUCUAGCCACGCCACACCCACAAGGGCAUUCAGCAGUGAUUAACAUUAAAAAUAAACGCCAGUUUGAUCUAGUUAAAGAAAACAGGGCCGGCUAAUCUGGUGCCAGCCGCCGCGGUCACACCAGAGACUCAAUUUGAUUUUACAACGGCGUAAAGCGUGAUUAAAGAAUACGACCACUGAGGUUAAACUUAAAUUAAGCAGUCAAAUGCUUGUUACAAAGAAACCCACACCCGAAAGAUACCUCAUAAGUACUUGAAUUCACUAAAACUAGAACACAAACUGGGAUUAGAUACCCCACUAUCUCUAGUCAUAAACCUUAACUUACUCACACCAA